GUGCAGCAGUCGCGAAAACUUUACAAUGCUGGAAACAGCGAUAAGGGAACCUCGAGUGCCAGGUUACAAAUCUGGCUGUCGUGAUGCCUAAAAAGCAUUGCAUAGCAAGGGCCGGGCAAGACCGGUGCCAGCCGCCGCGGUAACACCGGCGGCUCGAGUGGUAACCGUUAUUAUUGGGUCUAAAGGGUCUGUAGCCGGCCGGAUAAGUCUCUUGGGAAAUCCAGCAGCUCAACUGUUGGGCUUUCAGGAGAUACUGUCUGGCUCGAGGCCGGGAGAGGUGAGAGGUACUUCAGGGGUAGGGGUGAAAUCUUGUAAUCCUUGAAGGACCACCAGUGGCGAAGGCGUCUCACCAGAACGGACCUGACGGCAAGGGACGAAAGCUAGGGGCACGAACCGGAUUAGAUACCCGCGUAGUCC
rnacentral:rRNA from 1 species